ACACUCCUACGGGAGGCAGCAGUGGGGAAUAUUGGACAAUGGGCGCAAGCCUGAUCCAGCCAUGCCGCGUGAGUGAUGAAGGCCCUAGGGUUGUAAAGCUCUUUCACCGGUGAAGAUAAUGACGGUAACCGGAGAAGAAGCCCCGGCUAACUUCGUGCCAGCAGCCGCGGUAAUACGAAGGGGGCUAGCGUUGUUCGGAUUUACUGGGCGUAAAGCGCACGUAGGCGGACUAUUAAGUCAGGGGUGAAAUCCCGGGGCUCAACCCCGGAACUGCCUUUGAUACUGGUAGGCUUGAGUUCGAGAGAGGUGAGUGGAAUUCCGAGUGUAGAGGUGAAAUUCGUAGAUAUUCGGAGGAACACCAGUGGCGAAGGCGGCUCACUGGCUCGAUACUGACGCUGAGGUGCGAAAGCGUGGGGAGCAAACAGGAUUAGAAACCCGAGUAGUCCCA
rnacentral:rRNA from 1 species